rnacentral:rRNA from 1 species
UACGUAGGGUCCGAGCGUUGUCCGGAGUUACUGGGCGUAAAGCGCGCGCAGGCGGCGGUGCUGGCCCGGCGUGAAACGCCCCCGGCUCAACCCGGGGAGGUCGUCGGGGGACCGCACCGGCUUGAGGGCGGUAGGGGCUGGUGGAAUGCCUGGUGUAGUGGUGAAAUGCGUAGAGAUCAGGCGGAACACCCGUGGCGGAAGGCCGGCCAGCUGGGCCGUCC